AUUUUUAGGUUAAGUUAGAAAGGGCGCACGGUGGAUGCCUUGGCACUAGGAGCCGAUGAAG
rnacentral:rRNA from 1 species